CCUACGGGAGGCAGCAGUGGGGAAUAUUGCACAAUGGGCGAAAGCCUGAUGCAGCAACGCCGCGUGAGCGAUGAAGGCCUUCGGGACGUAAAGCUCCGUCCACAAGGAAGAUAAUGAAGGUACUAGAGGAGGAAGACCAGGAUAACUACGGGCCAGCAGCAGCGGUAAUACGUAGGGGGCUAGCGUUAUCCGGAAUUACUGGGCGUAAAGGGUGCGUAGGUGGUUUCUUAAGUCAGAGGUGAGAGGCUACGGCUCAACCGUAGUAAGCCGUUGAAACUGGGGGACUUGAGUGCAGGAGAGGAGAGUGGAAUUCCUAGUGUAGCGGUGAAAUGCGUAGAUAUUAGGAGGAACACCAGUUGCGAAGGCGGCUCUCUGGACUGUAACUGACACUGAGGCACGAAAGCGUGGGGAGCAAACAGGAUUAGAUACCCGUGUAGUC
rnacentral:rRNA from 1 species